CUUUAUUUAGCUGUGAACCAGACCUCCAUCAAAGCAGAUAUUUUCUUUAGCCAUCACUCUCUUUUUUUUGACCUGUGCAGAGAACAACAGACUUAUAACUCUCAGCAAGAAGAAGGUGCAAGAAGAUAGUGCAAGCCAACUUCCCCCUCUGAACCUUUCUCUGUCUUUUCCUCUUGUCCUCUUCCUCCCCCCUUCUGCUCUUCUCUGCUUUCUGGAGCCCUGAAGUCAGAUUUCCGACUCGAAAAGUCGGACGAUCCUCACCAACCCCGACAAGGUCAUAAUCCAAGAUGGCAUCGCAGUGCAUCAACAGCAAAAAGUAACAGUUAAAGCUCUCGUAAUGUAUUAUUUAUUAGCACUUCUGUUUUGUUUUUGUGAAAUUAAAUAAGUGGUGUAUGUUGUACUGUCCAAUGUCUAACUGUGAACAUGGUGCUAUGGUGUUCGCAAGAGUAAAAUACUGUCAUGCAAUGUUUAUAACUGGUAUCGCUAACAACAACUAACAACCGCUGACAAUGGCUAACAAUAGUUGACAACCGCUAACAACAACCGACAACGGCUAACAAUAGUUGACAAUCGCUAACAACAACUGACAACGGCUAACAAUAGUUGACAACGGCUAACAACAACUGACAAUGGCUAACAAUAGUUGACAACCGCUAACAACAGCUGACAACGGCUAACAAUAGUUGACAACGGCUAACAAUAGUUGACAACCGCUAACAACAACUGACAAUGGCUAACAAUAGUUGACAACCGCUAGCAACAGCUGACAACGGCUAACAAUAGUUGACAACGGCUAACAAUAGUCGACAUCCGCUAGCAACAGCUGACAACUGCUAACAAUAGAUGACGACUGCCAACAACAGCUGACAAUGGCUAAUGACAGCUGACAAUUGUUAACAACAACGGCUAACAGCAGGUAUCCAUCUUGGUUUUUCGACUUGUUUACUGGAUCACUAUCUUCUCAGGUGUAUCAUUAUUCCAAGCUCCAACUCCAAAGGUAACUGCAACACAGUAUAAGUAGUUGUAUUUUCAUAAGUACACAAGGUCCUCUGCACAUUUGUCCAUAUGAAACCCAUAUUCACAAACAAAUGAGUCCCCACUUUCAAGCAAGCAAAUUUAUGAUCUGACUGCCUGCGAAGGACAAUGUUUAUGCAACUUAUCAAGGUUCUUGUCAGAAUACUGAAAGGCUUCAGAAGCUUUUCUUUAACUGUGCUAUUAUUAAGUGAACACAAAUGUUUACCUUGCUCUUGAAAGCACAGAAAGCCUCAAGCAGAAUCCUCUAAAAUGUCAAACCUGUAAGUUAUUGCAGCACUCUGGUGUCUCAGAGAGCUGAUGAUUCAACUAAGCUUUUCUAUACUUGUAGAAAUCUUCCCUGAUGGUUAAUUUCUCCCUUAUCAUCCUCCUUCUCUACUUUGUCCUGCAGGUGUAGCAGAGGUGAUAGUCCUGGUCGGAGGGCGUCAAACGAUCGGGAUGAACCAGCGCUCCCUGACAGCGGUCACCUGUUUCAACCCCCAGAACAGUAAGUGGUACCCGCUGGCCAGCCUGCCCUUCUAUGACCGAGACUUCUUCAGUGUCAUCUCAGCCGGAGACAACAUCUACCGGUCAGGUGAGCUGAAUAUACUGGGGGACGAUUGUAGCUUUACUGUUCGGCAAUAAGAUAACUUUUAUUCUGUUCAAAGAGUGAUUUUUGCAAAAAAAAAAGUCUGUUCUACUUUCUUUGGUCCUGACCUUUUUUCGCUGUCACUGCAGUGUUGUUCAGUUCAUUUAGCUCCAUACUGACUCACUGUGCUCUCUGUGACUUCCUCGAUGAAACACCUUGAAGUUGUCUCUCCAGAGAUAGACUGAAUUCCUCCCUCUGUGGAGACAGUGCUCAAACCUUGACAUUGCACUGUGGAAAUACAGCAGGAUUUAUCCUGUGUGUACCUGUCCUCUCCCUCUUUUCAUAUAAAUGUAAAUUUGUGUUUUGGGCAUUGGAGCAGGUCUGCAUGUGUCCGCUGGGAGUCAAGACAACCAGAGCAGAAGUCAGAGGUGUUCUAGUCAGCCAGUCAAGAAGUGCCAGUGUUGGCUGGUGUUAAAAAAAAUUACAGGGAGCUGAAACAAACACAGUUUAGAUGGUUGUUUGAUUCACUUGCCACACGGCUCUGUCAGCUCUUUGUUUGAGUUCUCCCUCAGUUUUAAAACUUCUGAGGGAAGUGUAUGUGUGAUAGAAAGCUCUACAUGAUUGGAGGACUGGGUGACUAGUGACGGGAAGAACAGUUCUUUUGACUGUACCUAAUCUUUAGAAUACGUUCAUUAAAAUGAUUCAUUCAAAAGAUUCCUUCACGAAAUCAGUCAGUGAUUCGGAGCCCCGUCCUGCUGGGUGUAGUACACAAGUGAGUGACACAGCAGCGCAGAUCAGAAGUUUGUUAGUUGAACAGGCCCCUCCCCUCCCCUGAUGCUGAAGUCACAGCUUCGUUCAAUGGAUGACACAUGUCGUUCAUUUGUCAAGUCAUGAAGAAAGAAUCACUCUUGUGCCCUGAAAAACUCACUUCUGUGUGUGCAACCGACGUUUGCAACACGGCACGAGUGAAGCAACACAGCUGCAAGCAGCAUGCCUGCUAAAAGAGCGUGAAUCUUCGUUUUUAUGUAUCACAGAUAAGUGGCGAGACUCACAGUGAACGAACCGGUGCUCAGAAGUUCGUGAACGUCGCUACGCUCCUCCCUCCUCUGCCUGCCUCAAGUCGUUCGGGAGUCGUUCAUUUCAUUUACUGUCUGUAUGAAACAUGUCGUUCAUUCUCUGUGAGCAAAUCACAAGACUCCGCCUGCCCACUCACUCGCUGGCUCGCUGUGCGUCGUUCACCAAAGAGUCACAUGCGGCAGUUCCACUCCUGACGGGCACACCAAGCUCGCGGCUGAGCUCAACUGAACUGAGAAAGGAACGAAUCAGUUUUUGGAGUGAUUCCAUUCACGUUGUUCCGUUCUUUCGAAUGAAUCGUUCAUGAACAACACAACACUAAGUGGGACUGUCAGGGACCUGGACUACAUGGAGAGGUGGGAGUCAUACAGCAUCGUCAACAGCAGCAGCAGCUCCCAGCUGGUGACACACACAGCUAUAACCUCGAUCUGACAGCCAUCUCAGCAAGUAGGGGUGACUCUGCAGAAAGAAAUCUAGUUUGCACAAAUAAAUAUUCACUCUGCGGUAAAUAUAGCAGGUGGUGUGUCAUGCGGGGAUGCGAUGCAGCAGCUUGUAAAAGUGAUUGGACAGGUUGGUUAGCAUUUUCAGAGAGCGGGAAAAGGGGAGUGAAUCCGAGCCGGGUGUGAGUGUCCUUGUGCAGCGACGGUUGGAGCACUUGUGUUUGUGAGUGAGAGCUUUUGCUUCCAGAGAGCAGAGGGACCAACUCUCUGAUUGCACCCACUUCAUGUAAAGGUCGUCCUCUGUGGCCUGUUCUGUGGGAACUCCUCAGACAGUUUCCCCCAUGGAGUACAAUGAACUCCUACUCACUUAAAGCAUGAAUAGACAUUGUUCUGAGUUAUACCUCUUGACUUUUAUCACUCUGCUUUUCAUUUCUCCUCACUCCUCUAACCUGAGCUGAGAAGCGAGUUUCAGCAGAGAGACUUCCUCCUCAUGCACGGCAAAGGACGACAAGCCAAAUUUGUUUAAAAUGUCUUACUUGACUACUCUUCAUUUUCCCCCAGACAGGGUGUAUCAAUGAAGACUUAGUUUGCAUUUACCUUUAUGUAAAGAAGAAUAUCUUGCUUCCGAUGAAAAGUAAAGACGGUGGAAGCUUUUAUUGGAAAAGAGCAGUUAUUUGUCGAGUCUCUGAGGCGAAACUAAAGCGCGGUGUUAUGCAUCAUUUACAAUAAAAGUUUUGUCAGACUAUACUUGUUUGAAUACAGCUAUCAUCCUCUGACAUUAUAUCAAAUAAAUGGUAUUCAUAAAGAGUGAAGGAGCACUGAUACUUUGUAGCCUAGCUCGGCAGAUAAAACAGCAGUUUGUCUUCAAAGACUCAAACAUUAACUUUUAUCUGAUACCUUUUUUUAAUAUAUAAAAUCUUUAUCAGAGACACUUCUUCCAGCUAUAUAACCUUACAAAGUCUUCUUAACCUUAAAAAUGCCCCUGCUCCCACACACAGCUGCCUGGUAUUUGCUUCCGACUUUGAAACAAACAAAAAACAGAAUAUUUUAACUAAACAUUAAAGCUCCUUUGUUCAUUUCUUCUCAUCUGCUUUGAUAAAUGAGCCCAGCUCAUGACCAAUCCUUCAUUUUAAGUUUGGUAGGUGUGUCUCUGCUCUAAGACUCAGCAGGCCUGGCUCCAGCUCAGCCCUUUAGGUCCAAAACUCUAAAGAUGAUGGGGACUCCAGCAGGGAGGCAGCCAGUCCACAGCAGGACUAAACCCUGACCGGAGAAGAUAAGGAAGCUGUUACUAAAUCCCCUUUUUUUGCCACUUCCCCCAGGAGGAAGAGCUGCACAGAUCUCAAGCACUUUGUGACAGAUAGAGGAGAUGAUAUGCAGGAAUCAUUAGUCAGUGAGGGUGAAUGGUUGCCUCAUUUGAAGUGCGCAUGGUCGCUGGGGUUGUGUUUGAAGGCUGGGAAACAGCAUGAAAUGUGAUCUGGGUAAAUUGAUUACACACAUGGAAACAUUUUUUCAGCCUGCAUUUCUUUGUGUCCUGCAAAACUAUGUCUAGAUACACCUUUAUGUCUCUGUUUAUUGUUUAUUUUGAUGCCUGCAUACAUCAGCCAUCUUCAGCCAGGGCUCUUCUCCUUCCUGCAGUUUGACUCCUAAUUUGCAGUCCUUCCUAUUCCCAUCACUCAAUCCAUCUCUCCAUCCAUCUCUCUGGGGGUUUCACGCUUCUAGCUGUGAAAUUCACCCACACUCGCAAUUACGUCUUCAUUCAGAGCCGUCCAAAAGCCAGUUGGAUGCUGCCUUUUCUUUGGGAACAACAGGAGGUCCGAAUCAGCGCUCAAAGGAGUCAGCGAGCUCAUUUAUGUCUCUGCUCUCCUCGCUGAUGACUGACAGAUUUUUAGGGACGGGGAGCGGCUGAGUUCAGGAGGCUUUGAACUUGUAAUUGGGUACUCUGGGCCUCAGCAUGUUUAUUCUUUGGCAAAACUCGACGUGAUUGCGGAUAUUGAAUAAUUCAUGGAUAUCUAAUGAUGUGUCAAUCACAGAUGGUUUUGUUUUAUUUAUCGGGCACUAUAACCAGGUUUAUGCGUCCUUCAGGCUCCAUUGCACGUUAAUAUUGCAUGAAGACCGUUUGUGAUAUGACGCUCGAUAUACCCAUCAGCUUUUCUUAUCAGGGAUGUUGAGUUGUUUGGUUAACAAGUCUGGAGGCGAGAGGAACAGUUAGCAAAGAUCACGUUCUCAGGGUCGUUUAUGGCUUUUCAAAAUAAAAUGACCUUUUGGACUGCAGUACGUCAGUAAUUGCGGCUGUAAUACACCUAAUUGGGAGCUCUAUUGUUCAGGUUAAUUAACUAACUAAGUGUCCCUGCUCUUUACAGUUACUGUAUGUGCUCUUGUAAAGGCACCCAAUGCCAAUUUCUGCUUUUUUUCAACCUUCAUGGAGGUUUUCACCUUGCUCUGACAAAAUGCCAUUAUCCUUUUCUUACUGCUUCAUUUGCAUGUUUGUGAUAAAUUCAACAGAUAAGUGCAACUUGAUGUGAACUUGAACCUGGUUCCCUAUACUCAAGCUUAAAUACAGGCCCAUUAUUAACCAAAGACAAAAGAAAGUUUGCAGCGUUGUCGCUUAGGUUUUGUUUCUGUACUCAGUAACAAUGGAACCAGCUAUAUAAGCUCCCUCUGUGCAGCAAUAAUCAAAUUUUUCUCUCACAUUUUUCAUCCUCUGCGAGUAAGUGUGUAGCUGGGUGGAUCUGUCCGUCUUGUAUGGGGUCAUAAUGAUCCUGGAGCUAGUUCAGGAGGUAGGGAAAGGUUGGCAAACCGGGUAAGACACUGUAGUCGUGGACAACAGGCUCCCAGACCCCCUGCUGAGCUGAUCCCCGCUUGUCAGGAUUAACCAACCUCACUGGGCUGCUCCCUAUUGUGCUGUCGAGGCACCAUUAAAGCCUCCAGCUCGAUCUCAGCACCACUCUCCUCAGUCUCUUUCUUUCAUCUCAAGAAAAGGAAAGCAAGGAUGUCUGCGAAGGCAUAUGUAACCCUGCUAUGAAUAUAAAAAUCUCUCAUCUCCAGUCCUCUGCCUCCUACCUCUUAUUCCUCUUGUCCCAUGAGAAAACUGUCAUGAAUUUAGGGAUGUGUGUGAACAAGCAAAAAGUUUUGGGUAAAAUGUUCAGAACUCUGCAGCAGCUUUGCCCCUAAAAUUGUCCAAAGUUGCACACCUGAAUAAGAUCUAUCUUUAACUAAUCAUAUCCUUAAGGGGUUAGGACAAGAUCAUCACAUCUCUCCUACAUACAAAAUAUCCUCCUCUCAAUCUCGCCCAUUUCCCCUGUUUUCUUAUUCUAUCCACCGUCUCUCCUCUCCUGCACCUUCUGUCCCGCUGUCCCCCUCGUCUCCUCGCAGUCCUGAUUAGGUGGGCAGGACUUGAUGGGUGUAUUUUGGGGCCUGAAAGGCAAAGGCGGUGUCUCCUCUUCCUUAUCUUCUAAUGGGUGCUGAGGUCUCUGAAAUAUGGAGGAGGAGGAUGCCAAGAGUGUGUGUGUGCGUGUGUGCAUGUGUGUGUGUGACAGUUAGAGAAACAUUGGCGAGCAGCAGCAGCGGUGCCUGAGGACGGUAUUAGUGAAAGGCAGAGAGAGGCUGCAGGUAAUGAGCAGUAUGAGCUCCAUGUGCUUCUCUUUCAUUGAUUAAUGAUGAGCUGGACUUUGAACAAUUUCCGGCUUUCACCAGCAGGCAGAUCAUUUUUCUCUCUCUCUUUCUUUCAGCUUUUGUGCUUUUUUCUACCCUCUUUUUUUCUCUCUUUCAACUUCCAUUUCUCUGUCCAGAUCACAAAGCCAGUUUUACACAUUUGAAACAUACUGUAUAUCUCAUCCUCUCUUGUAUAGGGCUGCAAUCCAGUUUUCCAUACAGCCAGCCUGCAGCAGCCAAUUAUCAGAGGUUAAAAAUUGACAGAUACAGCAGAAAUUGCAGGACGCCAGCUUGCAGACCCCCAUGAGGAAGCAACUUCUGAGCACAGACCAUCUCAAUACCCAGACACCUACACAUAGGGACAGCACUGACUCUGGUGGAUGGAGGUUGAGUUUUCUUUUACAGCUUAUUCGACUGAGAUUAAGUUUUUCUUGUGCAGACACAGUGCUAUACCUACAAACAUGGAAAUCAGCUCUCUGUGGGCCCAUUAAAGGAUCUAAUUCCUCUCUUACUGAAGACGCUGCAUGCUCAAAGCAUGAAUGUCUGAAUGCAGGAUGUUCUGAAUAAAUGGAAGCCAAGGUUUUCCCUAUAUGAAUAAUUUUCAAAUGAUUUCCAGACAUGCUAGCAGCAUAGCCUAAGGAUGGAAGUGUCUGUCGGCUGGUCCCAGCUUAAUGUAUUGUUGGCGCUAAUUAGCUAAUGUUCCAUGCAAACUAACAAACAUAGAUUACGCUAAUGGAGCCAAGGGCACAGAAUACUCACAAAAACACAAAUGGAAAGUAAAGACAGUCCAGAUCUACCUUUUACAAGCGCAUAAUCUUAUUAGUCAGUGUCUUGUUCACAUUGUCUUUUAUCUGGAUCUCAUCCAAAGACGCCCAAUGAGAAAGAUCCAAAGCUCUGCAGAGAUGAAUGCAUUGUAGCUCCAAACAAAAGUUCCUCAGUCUAAUUGCUUUAAUUGCACAUAAUAGUCAGUCUUAUUCUAUACCUCUAAACCCUGCUAACAAUAUUAGCAUUUUUCUUUGAGUUUGAUCCAGUGAUAACUGGCUGCAAAGUAUUGCCAAGUGCUGCUAGUAGUUCAUUAUAGAUCCUCAUAGUGGAUUUGACUACUAAAGCUGGGUUAUGACCAGAGGUGGGCACAGUUGGUCCAAAAUUUUGCUUGUUCACUAGUAAUCUGUUUGCACAUCUGUUUAACUUUAAUAACAGCUAAUUUGUUAAUUCUGAUCAAAAUGAACUAGAGCUUUAUUCCAGGGUCUUAUGACAGUAGUGGAUCAAGUGUGUCCACGGGAGGUCAGUUUAGGUCCACACACAGAAGUAACGAAAGGUUCUCAACAUGCAACUUGUUGGUGAGCUCGCCUCCUUGUAUCAGGACAAGAAAGUUUGCUAUUGAUGCAGUUUACUCAGAGCCGGCCAAAAGCAUAAGUGAAUUAAGCGCCUGCUAAGGGCCCCGCAGCUAAUAGGGGGCCCCCAAGAGCAAUCAAAAUUUAUAUGCAUAUAUAUAUAUAUUUUUAAUGAUUUUUUGCAUGUGUGAGUGAUGCUUUCUGUAUGAUCAAAUAUAUAUUAUUGUAAUAACAAAAUAAAAUGAAGUAAAAACCUGUUUAGUGCUGCCGAUAUGUCAAUAUGUCACAAUCUGCGGGGCGAAAACAAUGUCGUAAAAAAGGAUAUAUCCUUCAGGUGCAUGUCAUGGAAUGUUAAUCAAAGAGAUUUGUGAAGGUGUGUGAAUGAUCAACAAUCAAUAUUAUUGGCAGAAAUAGAGGGCCCCAAAAUCAAAUUUUGCUUAGGGCCCCAUUGAGGCUUGGGCUGGCUCUGAGUUAACUACAAAGUGUAUAUCUGAAAACUAAAAAAGAAUAAUUUUCCAAUAAUUUUCUUGAUUUUCUGUGUUUUUCCCUGUCCUGCUUUAUUACCAAAAGAUAACAGAGAAUUUGAUAUAAAGGCCUGCCUCUAAUAAAAGCCUGUCUCAUAUGGCCACAAGGCCUGGCACCUGAGGCAAUAAAAACAAAAAAACAUGGCCUAUAUUUGAGUAUAAUUUGAUUAUAAUCUCUUAGAACUGUAACAAAAGAGGUGUUUUUAUUUCAACACAUUUUCCACACUGUUAGAAAUCCUACACUAGAUUCUAACAAGUUGGCACAUGAUGGAUUCUCACUGCAAAGAGCUGUCAAAGUACUUUUCAAUAACAGGGAAUUAUUAUAUCAAAUUGUAGCUCUUCGUUGUUGCAGGCAACAUUCAGAGCAGCAGGCCUCAGAGAGAAACCCAGGGUCAAAAAAAAGUGUCUGAAUUCAAAAUGUUUCCUGACAAGAAGUUGAUCUCAUGUCAUUAAAGCAGCAGCAUGGAGGCACUUCCCUCAGCUCUGCAGCCCAGAAACUUCCUCUCUGUUAUUAGAGGUUCUUCAGAGCAAGAGUACUGUGAGCAAAAUUAUGAUUAUGUAACGUGUGUGUGUGCGCUGGAAGCUGAGUGAAAUUCAAGAGCUGACAGAGCAGCUUGCGGGGGAAAAAGGAGAGAAAAGUCUGGUUAGGAAGUAUGUAUACAAGGAGUAACAGGUGCACACAACCUCCCCUGCUCUUAUGCUAUGAAACCGGGCCGACAGUAACUUUUGUGAGCCAGUGGGAAAUGCUUCUGGAUCUCCAAGUCUCUUAUCCUUCUCUGCAUCUCUCUCAGUCUCAUCCACUGACAUACAUACAGCUGUGAGUGUUUCCUCUGACUGUGCAUGUGUGUCUCCCCUCUGCAUGAACCAUCUCCCGCAUGAACUGCAAAUGGGUUUCACAAACACUUAUCAGGACCGACUCCCUUCCUCCCACAGAGACAGAAAUAAUGUAUCGCGCCCAAAAUAGUCCUUUUCAACACGUCUGUUGAGGUGUGUGGUGCCUCUGCAGACCUGCUCGUCUGUGUCUUCAAUAAAUCCGUCUGCUAAGCAGCAUAUGUCCUGAAACAUGGGUGUAAAUAAGCCUCCUCACAUACAGUUUACUUCUUGUGAAGCCUCAGCACCUCUGCCUCCACAUUUAUGAGAUCAACAUGUUUAUGUUGACGCCAUGCGAUGAUGACUGUUGUUAUGGAGUCUUUACAGGAAAGAGCUCUUAUCAAGAUCAGCACAGUAAACAGCGCUGCAACAGUUGAGGGCUUUGUGUUGUGUUGUUUGUGCUGUUCUUGCAGGUUUCAUAGAUCCAGAUAUGAGCAGUGUUGAUGCAGGAAUCAGAUAGGAAAGGAAGUGAGGCAACAAUGAAGUGUUUGUUUAGACAGCAGCUACAAACUGUGUGUGUUUUGUGUGCACUUGCUUUAAUUUGCUACCCGCCUCUGACCUCAGCCUGAGGAGGUCCAAACUUUGUGACUCAGUUAUUUUAUCAGAGAGUCUCUGUGGGCUCAUGUUGCCCAACAGGCACAGCUGUACUAUUAUCAUCAAAUUAUUAUAACCUUGUUUUCUGUUUGUUUUCCUCUUUUUCAUCAUUAUUAUUGCUGAAUGUGGUCUGUUGUUAACCUUAUUUUAACCCUAGAGCCUCAAACUAGGGCUGGGCGAUAUGACCUCAAAUCAAUAUCACUAUUUAAUGAGCAGUUCACCUCGAUAACGAUAAAUGGAGGAUAACUACUCCACAAGCUGCUCACCCCCUCCCAAAUGAAUGUCGUCUACUUCAGCCGCAAGACGACGGUUAUUGUCGUAAAUUUCUGUAUCGGUAAAUUUUCAGGUUUAUUGCCCAGCCCUACCUCAAACCUAGACAAUUAUAAGGCUACGUUCACACUGCAGGUUAUAAUGCACAAUUUGGAUUUUUUGUUAAAUCCAAUCUUUUUGUGUGGUCGUUCACAUUACAACAAUGAAUGUGGCAUCUAAUGUGAACGGAAUGCAUCCGUGAAGUGACCCGCAUGCGCACACAUUUCUUUCCGCGCCUGUUUGUGUUGUCGAACAAUGGUGACGUUUGUUGCAUAUUGAUGACGUAUAGGUCGGAUGACGUGACCUGAGCGUCCACACUGCAGCCACAUCGGAUACAUAUCUAAUUUCUUUCCACAUACAAAAGAGGCCUGGGUAGGAUUUGAAAAAAUCAGAAUUGCACUGUUCACACUUACAUGAAAAAAUCAGAUAUUUGUCACAUAUGGUUAAAAAAUCGGAAUUGACCUGCAGUGUGAACAUGGCCUUAGAUUCUCCCUUGAAUAAUGAAUCAUUAGCUCGAUCUUUAUUUAUAUGGCACCAAUUCACAACAAGUCUUAUCCCCAAAAAAAGCUGUCCCAAGUCCCAUCUCAUCUUUGGAGCCGUGAUAUUUAUCAUGCAAGUGUCAGAUGAAAGCAUAAUAGAGUGCUGUUCAUUAAGAGUUUCAGUGUGCAGGGCAGCAGGAGCCCCUCUCACCUCCACAGGUGAUCUGUUAAUUAAAAAUGUCAGACUCCUCUCAGCAGCUGGGGGACAGAGAAAGGAGGAGGACUCCCCACAACAUAAUGAGCCUUUAGAGCCUUUCGUUGCCAUUAUUAAAGCAUCAGAAACGACUCCUCCUGUUUCCCGCUACAAACGAGGGAUACCUGUGCACUAUGGCAGCAAACAAGGAGGGCGGCUGCUCCCAGCAGAGUGUCUGUUCAUCAUUCAUGCUGCUUGUAAAUUGGCCAGCUGUGGUCUGCUGAGGGAAAAUUACUGACUUUAAAAUCUACCUCCUCUUCCUCCGCAGCGAGGCUGCUGUCAAAAGCUGCAGGUGUCCAGUGGUUGUGCAUAAGCCACAGCUCUAAUUUUACAGAGCUAUUUCCUGCAUCAGAUUGAAUUAUGCAGAAUGUACUAUACACAUGUUCCUGGUACAUCCAUACUUUUCUUAAUUUUUGGGCACCAAGCACAGAGAGUGCAAGAACGCUGUUAUGUCCACUAUGCUUAUUCUAUCUUCUUUGCAAUCCUAUUUCUUGACAAUAGUAAAUUGCAUAUUUAGAGUUGUACAUCAAAAGCUCAUGAAAUUUUGCAUGCAUAUCAAGCCUGGUGAAAAAAUUAUGAAAGAGGAUUAGGGCCACAAGAAGAGAAAAAAAAACAAUUACAGGAGGAAGAUUUUUUAAUUUCCAUUUCGAGAUUUAAGUCCGAAUGUAAAAGUCAAAAUUUCAACUUUAUUCAUGUUGUCUUUACUCUCGAAAUUUUUAUAUCUCAAAAUGUAAUUUUAUUAAUCUCAGAAUUUCAACAUUAUUCACGACAUUUCAACAUUUUUUAUCUCAAAAUUUAAACUUUAAUUUUGAGAUUUCAAUUUUUAAUCUAGAAAUUUCAACUUUGUUGACAUAAAUUAGAUUUUUAAUCGCAAAAUUUUAACUUUAAUCUCGAAAUUUCGACUUAAAUCUCAAAAUUUAAUUUUUUUUAAUUUUGUAAUUUCAACAUUAUUCAUGACAUGUCAACAUUUUGGCAAUCUCAAAAUUUCGACUUUAGUCUCAAGAUUUUAAUUUUUGAUCUCGAAAUUUCGACUUUUAUCUCCCUCCUGUAUUUUUUUUUCUCUUCCUGUGGCCCUAACCCCCUUUGCAUAAAAAUUUGAUGUUGCUUUUGUGUUUUCUUUGUAAAUCUUUGGACAGGCUAAAAGGGUGUGAAGACUCAUAUGCUCUUGCAGUGAGUCUGAAUGGUUUGAUUCCAUCUUGGAAGGAGCCUACACAUCAUCUAUGAUCCAAAGGUAACCACAUGGUAGUUAAUGUGGACUAUAUAGGCUGUGUUAAAGUAGUUGACAUCACCUCGUUUUGAAACUGGAACCAAUCAGUAAGUCUCCAAAACCCACAUUUAUUUUAUUCUGAUAGACAGCAGCAGGGAUUAUAAAGAAUGCCCGUCAUGCUGAUAGGAAAAAAGCAUCCUCCAGAAAAGCAGUGACUGCAUAAUCUAAUCAUCUUUAGCUUUUUAAUUCUGCUCUAAAAGAAAACAAAUUCCACUUGCUUUUUACAAUUUGCGGACACAACAUAGCAGAAAAAAGGGAGAAAAAAUGAAUAUUAACAGCAGCAGAAUCACAUCCUAAUAUUCCACUCAGCGUGAACCACUGAGGUGUGCAGUUUGCAGAAUAAUGAACCCGCUGAUUUUAGGGCCUGAGACAUUUUUAGAUUUUUUUGCAGUAGCCGAGAAAGAAAGAAGCAAACAAUUACAGCCUGUAAACUCACGCUGAACGUGCAACAUAAAUCAUGCUGUCAUAGUUAUUGGGUAGCUGAGCCAGCCCUCACCAGGCAGCUGUUCUGUGGCAUUUAACUAAGUCUGACUCACAGAGGGGAGGGAGGGCAGUGCACACAGCACAGGAUCAAAACAUGAAAACAUGUAAUACGCAGGAAAAAGCACUUUUCUCUCCUGUGCGUAAGGAUGAUGUCUAGCAGAGUCAUCAUGCAGGAGAGCUGCAUCUCUAGACUUUGCCCUGUGAACUCCCUGCUUUGGAUCCCCUCAUGUCUGCCCCCCCAAAGAAUAUAAACAGUUUAUAGAUUUUUGUCUCAUCUGACUUCAUCUUAUUGCAAAUGACAAUUAGAGCCACACUCCUGCUGCUGUGAGUCACAGCUUUCCGAUAUCAAAUCCACUUUGGACUUUACUCUUUGGCUGCUGCAGGGUUGAUUUGAGCUGCGCUCAGGAACUCAUUACUGCCUGUAGUAGGAGUUAGAUCUAUAUACAGUCCUACGGGCUUAUCUUAAUAGUAUUAAUAGACAUCAUUUAGGAUGCAAUCAGCUAAAUAACAACCGUCAUUAAAGGCCAUACCUAAAUUAAGAGAAAAUGAAUGUAGACUCCUGUUUAUCAGAAAGAUGUGGAGGUGAAAGAAAUUUUCUAGUCUGCCCUGAAAGAGACUAUGGAUAAUCAAAAUACCUCAAUAAUUCCUGUCUGCUCUUGCAGCACUGUGAUCCUGAAUGGGAAGAUCUUCACCACAGGAAGCAUCAUGUCGCCCUGGGCAACAAAGAGACAUUUGACCCUUGCUUUGACACACUAACGCUCCAACAGAACCUUCAAAAUUGCCCACCCUUACAGUAAAAAUAAACAAUUGCACAACCUGGUACAGGAAUAUUGUCUGCCUCUUUGGCUCUUAAGAUAUAAAGAUGGGGGUUUGGCGUUGUUAGUAAGGCCCAUCUCUACUUCACCUCUUUGACGCUUUCAGCCAGAUAUUCCUAGAUGCCUGCACCUUGCACUAUUUUCAGUAACAUAAGAUUUUAGUUGUUUGCAAACCUUAAAAAGCUUUUUUUUAGUGUCCAUUUUUUUGGAAUUGUAAGAAUACAUCUGAGUUCAACAUUGUGUCUUAGAGUGAGUGCUCUUGAAUCUUAGCCUCAUUGAGACCACUCUGACUGCUUCAUUCAUACAAACCUGUUCCAGCAAAAAAGACUCAAUCUGUUGUUGAAAUCUCUUUGAUUCUCACCCACACACCAGAAAAACUGGUACUUCAGAGAAACCAUCUUGAAAAAAAGAGUGGACACCUGUUGAUGAUUUAUGUGCAUGUGAUUUUACCACUUUAUUUUUAACAUCCUUUUAUCGCAGCCCUAAAACUGUUAGCACCAGGUCACAAAGGUUCAAAAUCUGAAUGUAUAAAUGUUGGAAAAUGAAGCUUGCAUAAAAGUCACUGAUGAGGAAACUCCCCUGAAAGAGCCGGUGUUCAGACACACUGAUGGUAUAACACUUCUCUGUUUGCAGUGUCUCGCUCUAAAUUUCUAAUAAACUCAUUGCUUUGUUGCUCUGCACCUCUGAUGUGAAGUCUAUCCGCCUGAAGCCUGAUCACCUUUUUAUCUGUGAAAAACAGGAGACAGUCUAUGAAGGUUUCUGCACUGACACCCUCAUUUUUAAAUGACUUUAUCCAACUAUCAUGAUACCAGACCUGCAGAGCUCUGUUUCUCUACAGCAUUUCUUCACAUUCGUCCAUCUGGUUUUAAGUAAGGUGCAGACCAAGCCGAACCAAGCUAGGACAGACAGAUUAAAAGUAUCAACCUUGGAUUAACUGUUCAGUUUGAUGGAUAAUAAGGAGGUAACCUGCUGCGUGAUGUGUGCUAGGAAACACAGGCAAACAAAACACGUGCCAACAAGCUGGCAUCCCUGCUCUACAAUCACUAAUUUUAGUCUUGUGGGAUAAAAUGAACCAAAGCACCUGGCACCACCUGGCUGACUGUUUGCACCCCCUCUUUCUCUGCUGCCUCCUCUCUCUGACAUCCUGACAGCCAGUCCUGGCUACCAGCACCAGGAUGCUGCCAGUUCUGGCCAGCUGUCUGCGCUGACAUCUACAGCAGCAGCAGAUGACCAGAUGGGAUUCCGGGAAAAUACACUGCAGCUAUUUUUGAGAGGAACAUUGUAAAGAGAUCUCGACAAUAAAACAUGAAAAAAAAAAGACGUAACAUUCACUCUUCUUUACCACCAUGUCCAGAAUACAAAAUACAAACCACAUUAAUUAUAAAAUACCUGAAACAUUGGGAGCUAUCAUUAGGACAUAUCUACAUUUACAUGUGUCCAUAUAAAAGUGUUUGGAGAAACUAUAAUGAGCCAGACAGUGUUGAAUAAGUGCUCACACCGGCUAAUAGGUAAUGUUGGUUCAUGGAGAUGAAGUGUUUGGAGGUCAGCUGUGUUCAAAAGUAAUUAAUAUCAGAUUGACAGUUAAUUAAGGCGAAUCAUAAUAAGAGAGUUUACAUUUCACUGCUACUUUAAAUACAACACUCUGGACAGUCCCUUUAACUGACCCGUACCCCGUGUUUUACUAAAGCAGAGUCUGUAUGUGCGCGUGUGUGUCUAUUCAAACAAAGAGGUACUUUGAUAAAAAGAAGGUCACAGCAGAGCUACACAGAGAAUUUCACAUCAUAACACAUACAGUAUAUAAGAUGGGUGCACCCUCUCUUCUUUUCCAUCUCCUUAUUCUUACGUUUAAUGAACAGCACACUCUUCAAUUGCCCUUCAACCCUAUUUUUUCACCACUUUUCCCUCUGAUACAUUUUCGGUUCUUGUAUUUUCUCUCCCUCUAUUCUCUUGAAUUAUUUUCCCUCUGCACCCCUCAGCUUCUGUCAUUUUGAUCGGGAGCUCUGUGACACUGUGGGAUAAAUGGUGAGUGUGUGUAACACAGGGCUCAGUGAUUGAAUUGCACACAAAGGGGUAGUAAUCCCACGUGUUAAAGACGGCUGCUGACAUGGACCAUUUAACCUUAAACCCCUCUGAACUCCCUGUUCAUCUUCCUCUCCUCCAUCUGUACUCAAGAUGCUUUCUGCGCUUACCUCUCUCUCUACACACAUAAUUGUUGACACAGCAGACAGGACAAGUACACUAUUCAUUUUAUAAACUGAAGUACUAUGCAAGCCGGAUUGUUAGAUUGCCCUUCAAAUAUCAGUAGAAUGUCAUUGUAAUCUCAUCGACCAACCCUACGGUGUUUAAAAAAAACUCAAACAGAUGAAAUCCCAAAAUGUUGCUAGUCAUACAAACUUCAUUGCACUUUUCGGUAACUCUUUAUUGACGCCCAUCUCUAAAACGCAUUAUAAAUAUAUGUAUAAUGCGUUUUAAUCAUGUUCUAGCACUGUAUAAACACUCAUAAAUGAUCACAAUGCUUUAUAGCAGUGAUGAAAACACAUUAUAAAGCAUUUUAUCAUGACUUACAAGGUCAGGUAUUAUAAUGUGUUAUAACUGUUAACAACAGUUGCAUUGCAUUAUCUAUGUGGGCAUUGUCUGUGAGUUGUUAACAUUUAUAACACAUUAUAAUACCUGACCAUGUAAGUCAUGAUAAAGUGUUUUAUAAUGGGUUAUGAUUAUUGCUAUAAAGCAUUAUGAUCAUUUAUGAGUGUUUAUAACUAUAGUUAAACAGUGCUAUAACGUGAUUAUAACGCAUUAUACAUAGAUUCAUAAUGCGUUAUACAGAUAGGCGUCAAAUAAAUUGUUAUCCAGUUUUCGUCUUUACUCAUGAGACAUAAAAAUGUUGCUUUCUUAUGUUUAAUCUAACACCACUCUGUGUUUUAAGUAUGUUACAAAUAAAACUCUUAUAGCCUGUGAAUCGUGCACAAAGACUGGCAGUUAAUAUUAUACAGUGAAGAGUCCCACUUGAUCACUAAGAGACACAAGUCCAGUCGUGGGUCACACCAUUAAACCUCCGAAAUCAGCCUCUAAAAGAAGAACCCUCCCCUGUUUUUUCUGAUUCACCUCACUGUUUUUUCUCAUCUCCAGCAUAGAACCGAGUAAUUCGGAUUUUCCUGUUCCCAUAAAUGCCAUGACUGCCUUUUUGAUGGUGGAUGUGACGCUGGUGGAUGGUGAUUUGCUGAGGCGAAGAAAAUCAAGUUUUAGUGACAUAAUGUGGCUCACAGAGCACUCAGUCACACAGGUAAUGCAGUUGAGAUAGUGUUAUGACGAAUCACAUUAAGAUGGACUCAGCGCAUUAAAUGAAAUGAUCUCUACCUCUGCUGUGCAAAGAAAUAUCCACACUGAGGUUAUUAACGCCUCUGAAGUAUGAAAAAGGUGUAGACCGCUUCUUGUGCGCUCUGCCAGGUCUAAUUUGGACUUCAUAUUCAUCUUAUGAAUAAACUAAAUGUAUUAUUUCAUUACAGUAGUGUUACGUUUUCAAGUGCUUUAAUACGCCAGCAUAAAAACACUGUUGAACUGCAGGAAGUAGGGCUGGGCGAUAUGGCCUCAAUUCAAUAUCAUAAUAUAUUGAGCAGUUCAACUCAAUAAAAUACAUGGAUGAUAACUACUCCAUAAGCUGCUCACUCCCUCCUACAAUAACUAUCAACUUCAGGCGUGACAACUUUUGAACCGUCCUCCAUCUCCUCACCUGUCUUUCCCUCUUUGUUACAGACUGGAUGGGGAGGAGUCACGUCUCCGAUGUAGAGCGGCAUCUUAAAGAGACAUGAGACCGUUGCCUACCUACACGCAAACCAACUUUUAUUUUUUAUUUUUUAUGACACAAAAUGUAUGGAUAUAGGCAAAAUGAUGUUGGUUAUUGUCAUAAAUUACAGAAUCGGUUAAUUUUCGGUUUAUCGCUCAGCCCUAGAUGUAAGUGCAUGAAAUAAAAAGUCAAACAUUAAGGUUUUAUACUGAAAAAUAUAACAGUAUUCAAAUAUUUAAAGACUGUUUCCUGAACCUAAGCAAUAAAAAGUCAAUCCUAAUUCAAUAAUCAGCAUUUAACCUGCUAUUUCUGAUUAUACCAAAGCCAGAGAAGGUAUCAGAUGAGAGCCAGGUCCAAGUUUUCUUCCAGUUUCUCUUUUUGGUAACAAAAACUAGGGCCCUGAUGUCAAAAUCUUUCCUAUUCUGUGUGUGAGCUUGUUAUCACUCUAAUUUCCAAAAUAUGAUUAUCAGCUUUGGCCUCAAAAUUCCAGCAACUGUCCAAAACAAACCAACUACUUAGCACUGCAGUGAAAAUGUGAAACAUAAAGUUAGCUCAGGACAACAAACCACUUCUGAUCGAGUUUAAAAGUUCAGACUGCAUCCCCUGAGUGAGCCAAAUAUGGGCAUAAACAGUUGAAGUUCUCCAGCCGUGUGGAGGCAAUGAUCAGGUAUUCAGUCCUGCUCUGAAAUCAUGAACAAGGUGAUUUUGUUGUUGUAGCUCAGGCCAUAUAGACCCAAAAGAAACUCCAAAUAUUCAUAAUAAACUGCAGAGAGUCAUAAAGUCGGACUUUACUUUCUAACCUUAAUUUGGCACUCACGUUCAAGCGAUGAUAAAUGAUCUAGCCUGUUCAGUAAGGAAUAAACAAGUCAUGAGAAAAUAUCUGGGGUAAGAAGGCUGCAGGAGAGGAUGUGAAUAUUUUAUGGAUUCAAGGCAGCAGAGAUCCAAAACACCGGCUAAUAAUGCAGGAGAAACCCACGCCUGUAAACAAAUAAAAACCAAACGUGCCUCUGCUCAGGCCUGAAAAUCCACCUGAUGCAGAGAUUAAGUCAAAAUAAUGCACUGAAAGCAAAAACAACAAAGACAAAUGAAAAGUUAAGUUUGGUGAAAGUAAAAGGAACCGAGUACAGUAGAGCAAACACGGUGUGCGUAUUGGAAACAUGCUGACCAAGCUCUGUUGCACAUUAUGUAAAUGUGUUUUCACCAUACACCUAAAGUGAAUAGAUCUGAGUAAGAGCAGCUAUUUAGAGCCAGGCGGUAUAUUUUUGUUGUAAGUACACAUUCAAAGGAUUCAAAUAAUAGGACUUUAACAAUGUUUUUAUCAUGUGACCCUUUUGAAAGUCCAUUUUAAGUGAAAUCAUAGGUGAGACGUUAGCGGGCUGGAAAGCAAAGUAUGUAGUAGUUCCUUUUUUAUGAGUGGGAUGCAUUAAGGUGUUAUCAUUGCAAAAGGGUGUCAUAAAUCAUCUAAAAGGCUUGGCAGAAGAGCAAUUACUUCAGCAUAUCAAGAAAGCAGAGUGGGUUUAUACUGCAAGCUGUUUACACCGCUGCCUCUCACAUUCAGGCUCGGCUAUGCGAGUGAAAACGGCCGCAUUGUCAAAGCCAUCACUGAGAUUGAAUGGAAAUAAAAGCAGCUUUCUGUUUUUACUGCAAAUCAAAACCGGGUCCAGCACUGCUAUUAAGCCGUUCACUUCUUCAGCUGAUAUAUGCAUGAUGGCCACUUUGCCGGAGAGCCUCCUGCUGUUCGUAGGAGUGAAAAUGAAGAGAAUAAAUGAAAGCAGACCAUUUCUGUUGACAGGCUAAAACAGGAGAUCCUAAAAUACUGUAAUGGCUGAACAUGAAGGGGGAAGACUUCGUACAGAGAGCGAGAAAGCAGAAACACUCGCUCCUCGUAAGCAGCUGCUCCAGAAAAGAGCAGAGUAGGCGAUAAUCUGUGUGUUCUCUGUCAAAUAGAGGGAAAAUUUGCCAGGCCAGAUUUCGUCAGCAUCACUUCUUCCACUCCAUCUGUGGACAAGUGUCUGAUUACUGAUGAAAGCAAACAGCUGACUAUCAGAAACAUUAGGGAGCAGCAAGACAGACAAGCCUGAGGACAGAGUUAUUCCUAUAGAGAUUUUGAUCAUUUAGUAACAAGCCACACUGCAGUCAGUGUUUCAGGGCAAUUUUGUCAAGUGUAUCAGAGCAUUAACUGACUGUAGAAACUAUCUCUGUCCUACAGGCUGUGAGUCUGUGAACAAACUUGAUACACUCUGAUGGUGUUUCAUUACAGACAGAUUUAAAGUCUUCAAGUUAAAAAGUUAAAAAAUUGUGAGCUCUCAACAGUCAAUGAAUGCUUCUGAUGGAGCAGUACACCACCCACUUCAGGCCAAAAUACACAUCAGACAGCCUGCCAGCCUCGGCCCUGUGAGCAAACACCGACUCCUCCUGCUUAUUUAACAUUGAAUUUCUUCUGUCGGACAGGAAUGAAAACAAAAUCAUUCACAGUGAACUUUUUUCACAAUAUGCUUCUUUGAGAUAUCCCUUCUCCCCUCUCCAACAAAUAAACCUCCACAUUAGUUCUGUGUGCGGUUCUUCAUUGGGGCAGCCAGCUGAGGCACUCAGAUCAAGCCAACUGAAAAGCCUGUCAAUCACUUUGAAUGAGAGAGUCAAGUUCAGGAAGACAGAGCACAUACCCUGCUGUCUUCAUCACACUCAGGGGGGACACGGGUAAAAGCCACCAGAUAAUAGCUUGGUAGCUGGAUGUCACUUUGGAGCACAAAGGAAAGAAGUACACUCGUGUCAGAAGACACUUCUUUUACAUCAAUUACACCACAGGGCGCCCUAGAGCCAAACACCCCCCACCUGAUCAGUGAGAAGUGCUGUCAGGGGAACCCACUGAACCAAGGCUUCAAUUUACACUCGGGGUAUUAGCCGGGACCCCAGUGUGACUGUGCAAAGCACAUUGGAGCUGCUCCACUUGCUCUUUUUUUGCUUUGACACAUGCUGGUGGACGCAGUGACGUGAGGAGAAGCUCAUGUUUGAGUCAUAAACUGCAGAAAACAACACCUGUUGAUCGAGAGAUGUGAACAUAGUCUGUUACUGUAAUUGGGGCUCAAAUGUACAGUUAUAAAGUGAAGAGAGGAGAGACAAUGUGACAUGACUAAAGUGUGAAUGGAAAAGGCAAAAUAAGCCUGAGCAGUCAGAGUUAUCCAUGUGAGGAGGAGAGAGUGACAGCAUCAGCUCACAUGAAGCUUAAAGCUGGUUACCCAUGGCUGAGUUUCCUCUUCCUCCAUGCUGAAGCCCCAUUUCAUGAAGAUUUUCAAUGUAUGUGCCGACUUCUUAGGCCCAGUUUUAACAAUAGCAGACGUCUUAUUAUCCAGACACCAUUUCUGUUCUGACAUUUUCUAUUUUUAGAAGCUAUAGAAAGGAUGAAGGACAAAGCCACGGCAUAACGCCUGAAGCCGUGUUUCUAAGAUGAGCAGCAUACAGCACGUGGCAGCCCGGGCCGAAAAUGGAAAAAGCCAGUGGAGCUAACUCUUCUGGCUCACUAAAGAUAACAUGAAUAGUCGGCUCUCAAAUGAAGCAGGGCUGAGCUGAAUGUGAUGGUCAGUGCAAUUUUUCACGCCAUUCUAGCCGACGGAAACGCCGGGACUGGUUCUUUCUGAAGCUUUUGCAUAAAUGUCAGCGCAUGAAAAGCAAAUCAAAGGAAGUAUAAGUGAUCAAUUUAGAGAGGAGGAAUAAAGAACAGCUGUUUUCUUUUACAGAGAGGAUGAGAGGGCGCUGGAAACGCCAUCAUCCAUACUGCUCAUGCAUUUAAACAAGCACCCUUAUGACCUCAAAUAACACAAGGAGCACACUGGAAACACUUUUUGACUAGAGCUAGCAAGUAAGGUCAAACUUUUUCUAUGUUUGUUCUGUACUUUUGCAACUCUGGGGAUAGUAUUGUACUCGUUAUCACAGCAAAACUAGCAUGGUUAUCACUAGAUGACAGCUGGAAUUAUCUUAGCGGAGUUAAAAGAGUGUACAUAAAUGUUCACUUCAUGAGUUACUGGAUAUUCCUCAAACUGUGCAACACUGACAUACUCCUCUUUUGUAUUCUGGAUUAAUGAUGUUGCAUUAUUCAUGCAUUCUCUUUUUUAAAAGCUAAACAGGAGAGCUGGAUGAUAAUCAAACUCUGAUUUCUCAUCUUAAUUAGAAGGCGAAGCGCCGACUGGAUGUCUCAAACUGAGUGCAUUUUGUUAACAUGCUUAAUUGCUUAUCAAGUUAUACGAUCAAAUAAUCAGCAAGUUAAAAUGGAAAGAACAAAGUGAAAAUGGGUGAAAACCCCCACCUGCCCCUUCUCACUCCCCUGAGAUGCACUUUUAAGUCAGAACGACUGAAAAACAACAGAAAAACCAAACUUGCUCACAGCUUGUGAUAAAACCUGCAGAAGUGAAGGUAUGCACAUGUGCCUACCCGGUGUCCCAAAACUAAUUAACACCAUCGCUUGAAAAUCCCUUUGAAUCCAGGUAAAAUUUUGCAGAGAGAGGAAGAUAAAUCUGCGUUUUCAAGUGAAGUAACUAAAGCUAGAUCAUAGUAAACUUUGAGUCCAGAUUCAUUGCUGCUCCUGAGCUUGUCUGCUCUCACUUCUAUCCUCUAUCUCAUUAUGAGGUUGUUUCAAUCGAAUUCUGCUUGUCUAGCCUCCAUUUCCUCCUCUUCUGUCUCUUUCUUAAAGCCUUUUUUCUUACAAACAACAUCCUGCUCUCAAGUUGGUCGGUGGAGAAAUCUGCUGCUUCAUACUAUCUGUAAUAAUGAGGGUGAGAAGUGUUUGUAGAUCCGUUUCCAGAAAGCCCAUAAAGGGAAACUUUGAUGCACCCCAUGCCUACAGCAUUAUACAAUAUUAUGUGCUAUUCAUUAAUAUAAAAGGCCCCUGACACUCAGAGGGCCAUAAAAACAUAAUGUGUCUCCAUCGAAGGCAGCAGGAGUAUUGUGGGUCUUUGAUCUCAAUAUUACAUUACCGUUAGAACUGACCUAUGGUUACUGUGUUCUAGGGCUGGGCAAUAUGGCCUCAAUUCAAUAUCACAAUAUAUUGAACAGUUCAUGUCGAUAACGAUAAAUGGACAAUAACUACUCCCCAAGCUGCUCACCUCCUCCCACAUUAACUUUGUCUACUUCAGCCGCUACAACUUUUAAACCGUCCUCUAUCUCCUCACCUGUCUUUCCGUCUCGUCCCGUCCAGGGACUGGAUGGGGUGGAGUCACAUCUCCCACAUAGGAUUGCAUCUUAAAGUGACAUGAGACCAUUAGCCUACCUACACACAUCCCAACCAACUUUUAUUUAUUUAUAUUUUUGCCAUAAUUUAAUGUCGUAGAUUUCAGUAUCGGUAAAUUUUCGGUUUAUCACCAAGCCCUACUGUAUUCCUCAUCUAUUCAGUCUGUGACGGUUCCCUGGUGUCUAAUGUAUGCUUUUCCCUCUGUCAAGCAGGAGGUUACCAGGGGGCGGUCCGAUCGGUUAGUGAGGUUGGCAGCACCUGGGCCCGGUGUCUCCCAACCUAUAAAUACCCCGCCUUCUCCACCAGUUCGCUCUCUCCUUCCCUCCGGGCGGAUGGCUUUGUCUUUUGUUUUACGCAUCCAACACCCUAACACACAUUACACCCCGUAUUCACUCAUGCAUGCACGCACCUACACAGCUGAUCUACUGAUCCUCACACCCCAUGACUUGUUUGUGUUCACCUCCUAAGUUGCUGUUAUACUGUUUUCUUAAUAAAUUCAUUACGUUUACGUUAACUAGUGCAUCUUCCGUUGUUUUUGUCGCGGCUGAGGAGCCUGGUCGUGACAAAAGUGGGGGCUCGUCCGUCUUGAUUAGGUCCGUUUCGCGUUGAAUGGUAAGCUAAGUAGUAGUAGCAUUGGUGGGCCUGAUUUUUGUGAAUGGAAAGUGACGUAGUGGGUGACGUCACUAGCUUGUUGUGAGGGUUUCUCUUGGGGUUUUUCCGGCUUGCAGCGUGUCUUGUCUUUGUACACUGCGGCAGGAAUCGGGAGAUGCAAAUGAGUUAUGUAUUUUGGGGUAUUUGUUUAAAUAAGUAAUUUGUUUCGCGGGAUAGAAGGGGAGGUUUUUGUUUGGGUGUGGGUGUAAAAAUGGUAACGAUGUAAAGUAGGUGCUGUCGGCUGUGUGUUAAGGCAUCGGAAAGACUAAACGUGUGUUUUCCCCCUGUGAGGCUCAGAGGCGUUAUCCCUUUGGAUUUCGACCUGUUUAUUGUUUUAGUAGUGCUGCGGAGACCGUGGUUGGAGCAUUGCGCUCGGGAGCACGUCCGUGGUUCAGGAGGAGUCGCCAGCUAGUGGUUGCUUUUUCCUAGCCAUUGGGUUUUAGUGCAUAAAUACCCGCCGCCAGUAACUGCAUGAAGACUAGGUGAGUUAAGGUAGGUAGAUUUUGGGUUAGGUAGUGAGUUAGAGGGGGGGGACACUCGUGGGCGUUUGAUAACUGUGCCUUUGUUUUGUGCCGGGUUUGGCUGCACUGUGCAUUACGUUGAUUACACCACACACACACCCACACUGGUAAGCGGAGAUGGCAAGUGUGGAGGAAUUUUUUGUUUCCCCGUCAGAGGAGUUUUUAGAGCAGUGCACGAGAGAGCAGUUGUUGAAAAUAGCAGAGCACUACAAAGUUGAUGUGGGUGACAAACGUUUAAAGGACAGAGUAAGGGCAGUAUUAAUUUCAACUUUGUUUGAGAGAAAAGUUUUGACCGAAGAACCGCCAGUUGUUUCUCCAGUCGCCCAGUUGCUUCCGCCCUCAGUAGCAGUGGGGCUUACAUUUGACCAGCAGAAGGAGCUGCUUCUGUUGCAGCUGGAACAUGACAAGUGUAAGCAGAAAGCGGAGCUGGAGAAAGAACUGGCUGUGGAGAGGAUGCGUCAGCAAACGGAGCAGGCCAAAUUGGAAUUUGAGCAUUCUAAAUUGGCACUGAUUAAAGAGGGAAAGCUGAUGGCUACGGGUGAGUUGGCCAAUGAUUCUGUUUUGGGUCAGUCCACCGAUAGUUUUGAUGUGUUGGGCAAUUUGCGUUUUUUGCCAAAAUUUUGUGAGAAAGAUCCUGAAUCAUUUUUUUCUUUGUUUGAACGGGUCGCUGAUGCACGUAAAUGGUCGGAUGAGGUGCGCACGCUAUUAUUACAGUGUGUGUUCACAGGCAGAGCACAGGAGGCCUGCUCAGCAUUAACAGGGGAGGAAAGUCGUAAGUACUCUCAGGUGAAAUUGGCAGUUCUAAGGGCUUAUGAAUUAGUCCCAGAAGCCUAUAGGCAGCGAUUUAGAGCUUGGAAAAAGGGAGAAAGGCAGAGUCACUUAGAAUUUGCACGCGAUUUGGCUACCCAUUUUACGCGCUGGUGCGCUGCGGCGAGUGUGGAUGAUUUUGAUGGUCUCUGUGAGCUUAUCAUAUUGGAGCAGUUUAAAAAUUCACUGCCGGUGCGAGUGGCAACCUACCUCAGUGAACGAAAAGCUAGAAACGCGACUGAGGCGGCGGCUCUCGCAGAUGAUUAUGUGUUAACUCAUCGGAAUAGUUUUAGUGAGCCCCGGCUGGGCAGUGUAAACAGGGAGUCAUUCGGCCGACCCCUUAAACACUUUCCAAGUGAUAAACAGAGUGGCAGUCACCUAGGUGAUUCGGACAAACUUUGUAAUUACUGUCACAAACGCGGACACUGGAAAGCAGACUGUCAAUGGCUGCGGUCUAAAUCUAAGAGCACUUUUGGGGAUCAUGCGAAAGGGGUCGCUUUGGCUGUGCCCGCGCGUCAGUUCGUCACUUCUGAGGUUGUGCAUGAUACAGAUUCUUGUCCGGAGAUGGAUUCGUACCGACCGUUCAUCACCGAGGGGUUUGUGUCUAUGGUAGGAAGCGAUACUAAGGUGCCGGUGACUAUUCUGAGGGACACGGGAGCGUUCGAUUCAUUCAUCAGGGUAGGAGUUUUGCCUUUGUCGAAAGACACAGAGACGGGGAGCUCUGUUCCUGUCCGGGGAAUGGAUCUCAGCGUCCUGUGGGUCCCAGUACAUAACGUAACGCUUCAGUGUGAUUUGUUUCAGGGGGAGGCUGGUCUCGCGCUGCGCCCGGCGUUGCCUAUUCCAGGUGUGUCGGUUAUUCUCGGAAACGAUUUGUUAGGGGCGAGAGUCUGGGCAGGGGUAUCACAACCCGUCGUGGUGGCGCCGACACCGUUGGCGAGAUUGAAGCCGGAUGAAAAUGAACGUGAUUUUCCGGAGAUUUUUUCAGCCUGCGCCGUUACGCGUGCUAUGGUGGCCGCAAAGUCCGAGGUUGACACAGAUAAAGAGGGUGUCCGUGAAAGAUUUGCAUUGCCCCUGUCUGACUUUCCUCUGUCCAUAUCUCGCAGUGACCUAGUGGCCGAGCAGCAGUCUGAUCCCUCCCUGAAGAAGCUGUUUGACCAGGUUCGACCGGCGAGUGAGGUGUGGGACAGUGCUUCCGGUUAUUUUUGCCACGACUCUUUAUUGGUGAGAAAGUGGGUACACAGCGCGAACGUAGUGGGGGACCCAGUGGUCCAAAUAGUUUUGCCAGUAAAGCUGCGGGAGUGUGUGUUGAAAGUUGCUCAUGAUGAGUCAGGUCAUUCUGGAGUAAGAAAAACUUAUGACCGACUCCUGAGACACUUCUUUUGGCCUCGUAUGAAGAGGGAUGUCGCGACUUUCAUUAAAACAUGUCAUACAUGCCAGUUAACUGACAAACCCAAUCAAACGUUGAAACCUGCGCCUCUGUGUCCCAUACCCGCAGUCGGACAGCCUUUUGAGCACUUGAUUGUUGAUUGUGUCGGUCCAUUGCCCCGCUCUAAAUCUGGUGCGAAUUAUCUUUUGACUAUAAUGUGCCAGAGCACCCGGUACCCUGCUGUGUAUCCCCUGCGUACAAUAACUACAAGGUCUGUGGUACGGGCGCUCUCCCAGUUUAUAUCUGUGUUUGGCAUCCCAAAGGUGAUUCAGUCAGAUCGAGGGUCUAACUUCUCCUCUCAAAUGUUCCAGCAGGUGCUGAAACAGCUGCGAGUCUGGCAUAACCAGAGCUCUGCCUAUCACGCUCAAAGUCAGGGAGCGUUGGAGCGCUUCCACCAGACUCUUAAGUCCCUUUUGCGCGCGUAUUGCACGGAGCUGGGUAGAGACUGGGAGGACGGGUUGCCCUGGUUAAUGCUUGCAGCAAGGGAGGUGACACAGGAGAGUACAGGGUUUAGCCCGAAUGAGCUUGUCUUCGCACACACUGUCAGAGGUCCAUUGGCUGCGCUGUCUAGCGGCUGGGUAGAGUCACAACCUCCAAAGAAUUUAAUUGAUUACGUCAAUGGCUUUAGGCACAGGCUGUACACUGCAGGGGUAUUGGCCAAGGAGAAGCUGGAGUCAGCUCAGGGCAAGAUGAAGCAUCUAUAUGACAGGGGGGCUGAGCGCCGUGUUUUUAGUCCUGGGGACCAAGUGCUGGCUUUGCUUCCAAUCGUCACUUCACCAUUCCAGGCAAAAUUUACUGGGCCGCAUACAGUGUUGGAACAAAUUUCAGAGCUUAACUACGUGAUUUCAACACCGGGUCGUAGGAAACCGACUCAAAUGUGCCAUGUAAAUUUGCUCAAGCCGUACUACGCGCGCCCCUCGGAGACAGUUGCCGUUGACCCGCAGCCAAGUGUUCAGAUCCAUGCAGUGUGCGCGGUGGCCCCAGUGGUGUGUUCUAAUCCUAGUCAUUCGGAGUCUGAUGACGAAUUAAAUAUGCCUGACUCGGCUCUGUUACAUGGGCGGCUUAAAAAUUCUGAGGCUAUGGCCCGGUUGGAUAACCUGUUUCCACAUUUAACAGAAUCGCGCCGAGCAGAGUUGAUCCAGGUGAUCCGAGGUUUUCCGGACCUCUUCAGUGAUACACCCGGUCGCACUCACUUAAUUGAACAUGACAUAGAUGUGGGGGAUGCUGCGCCCAUCAAACAAAGAUUUUAUCGAGUAAAUGCAGAUCGUCGUAAACAUUUGGAUGCCGAGGUUGAUUACAUGCUGGAGAAUGGGAUUGCGGAACCCUGCUCUUCCAGUUGGUCAUCUCCCUGCUUGCUCGUUCCAAAGUCUGACAACACGCCCCGUUUCUGUUCAGAUUUUCGUAAAGUUAACAACGUUACAAAGCCUGACUCUUUUCCAUUUCCCAGGAUGGACGAUUGUAUAGAUCAGGUUGGUUCAGCAGCGUUCGUCAGUAAAUUUGAUCUGUUAAAGGGAUAUUGGCAGGUGCCCUUGACGCCGCGUGCGCGUGAGAUAGCCUCUUUUGUGACACCAGCCGGUCUGUAUUCCUAUACAGUGAUGCCCUUUGGCCUUAGAAAUGCGCCUGCUACCUUUCAGCGUCUUAUGAACCGCGUCAUUGGGGACAUGCAGGGCUGUGCGGUUUAUCUAGACGACGUAGUGGUGUAUUCGGAUACGUGGGAAGAACAUCUGGAGCGUAUCCGGGAACUGUUCACUCGUUUGGCGGAGGCAAGGCUCACGGUUAACUUCGCAAAGUGUGAGUUUGCCAGAGCAACCGUUACAUACUUGGGCCGUGUGGUUGGGCAGGGCCAGGUGCGGCCCGUAGAUGCUAAAGUUCAGGCGGUGAAACAGUUCCCCGUUCCGGCAACGAAAAAAGAACUUAUGCGCUUUCUUGGUCUCGUCGGCUACUACAGGGGGUUCUGUAGAAAUUUUUCAACAGUCGUAGCACCAUUAACUGAUCUGUUGAAAGGAAAGGCGAAAUAUAUUUGGACUCCGGCUUGCGACAAAGCGUUCGUACAGGUAAAAGAGCUGCUUUGCUCUGCUCCUGUCCUGUCUGCCCCGCGUUUUGACAAGCCGUUUCAACUCUAUGUAGAUGCCAGUCACGCUGGAGCAGGAGCUGUCCUCAUGCAGACGGAUGAUUUGGGAAUCGAUAAACCUGUUAGUUUCUUUUCCAAGAAAUUUAACCCGUGUCAGUUAAAUUACGCGGUUAUCGAAAAAGAAGCACUUGCGUUAAUUUUGGCUUUAAAACAUUUCGACGUUUAUGUUGGUGGCAGCGGUGCCCCUACCAUCGUGUACACUGACCACAACCCUCUAACUUUUCUUAACUCCUUGCAGUGUCCCAACCAGCGGCUGGUCAGGUGGUCGCUGUUCCUGCAGUCGUACUCUCUGGACAUUCGCUAUGUGAAGGGGGCCGAGAACGUGGUGGCAGACGCGUUGUCUCGGGCUCCCCCGCGUGGCGACUGUGCCUAACUGUUUCCCUUUUGGUUCUACUCUUGCCUCCUCUCAAUCUCUUAAAUUGCUUCCUAGGUGCACCGGUUGCUGGGGUGGGGAGUUUGGGUUAAGGGAUGUUGGACCAACGAAACAGUCUGGUACCUGGACUUGUAGUGUUCCACUGUGCUCACGGUGCCUGUAAGGAUGUAAUGUAUGUUGGGUUUGGGUUGUUUUUUAGACUAGCACUUUAAAUAAAAAAAAAAAAAAAAAAAGUUGACUGGAUACGGUUGCACUGAUAUGGUGUUACUGUGGGGUAUUGUGUUUAUGUUGGUCUGUUUGCUUAGGUUUGUUUAAUCCCGGGAUUCCCUUCAGGACCCCGUUCUUGUGGGGGUGGGUGUGACGGUUCCCUGGUGUCUAAUGUAUGCUUUUCCCUCUGUCAAGCAGGAGGUUACCAGGGGGCGGUCCGAUCGGUUAGUGAGGUUGGCAGCACCUGGGCCCGGUGUCUCCCAACCUAUAAAUACCCCGCCUUCUCCACCAGUUCGCUCUCUCCUUCCCUCCGGGCGGAUGGCUUUGUCUUUUGUUUUACGCAUCCAACACCCUAACACACAUUACACCCCGUAUUCACUCAUGCAUGCACGCACCUACACAGCUGAUCUACUGAUCCUCACACCCCAUGACUUGUUUGUGUUCACCUCCUAAGUUGCUGUUAUACUGUUUUCUUAAUAAAUUCAUUACGUUUACGUUAACUAGUGCAUCUUCCGUUGUUUUUGUCGCGGCUGAGGAGCCUGGUCGUGACAAGUCAUACACUGUUUACUUAAAGUACAUCAUGAACAGGGUCUGUUUACACGUAUCACAUGUUCACAAGCUCAAAUACAACAAUAGCAACAUCAUAUCACAAUUUUGGAGGGGAUUCAUGCCAGACCAUUUAUAAGUCAGGAGAAGUAACACUCUGAAUUUCCCCAUUCAUUGGUUGCCAGGCAACUGGUGUCACCCCCCCUUAAAAAAAAAAUGCUGAAAAAGACAAAAGCACGCUAUAAAUGAACUCCACUAAAAUGAUCAUAUAUUUGCAGACUUCCCGACAAAAGCGCUCGGAUCAGACUAACUCAGCACUCAGCUGAAAAGUAUUAAUGUCAUUGUGCCUUCCUGUCGUUGUUAUUGUCAAAGCCAGCUCUCUUCAUGCAUUAUAAAAGCUGAUGUCAGUAUUUUUAAAAUCAGCAUCUGGCUGAAGCAGAUGCUCUACGCUGAAGCACUGUAAAAACAUCAGAGCCUUAACCUUUACCCAACAGUUACAGGUGCAAAUCUGACAUUUUGUUCUUCUCACAUUUGCAAAAUAUGAAGUAGCACUCUUAUAAUAAUUGUGACUCUGAGAGCGAUAAUUGCAUUUUUGUAAUAUGGUGUUAAAACUACUAUCAUGACAAGUGGUAAAAAAUGGAAAUCAUGCAACAAGUGCUUCCCUUUAGAUGAAUAUUGGUAAUGUGUGUGUUACCAUGUGCUAAUGAACAAUCUGUACUUGCCUCCUCAGACUUCUUGCAGUCUAAUUUUCAGACUAAUAAACUAGUCUCACCUGCAGUUGUAACAUAAAAACACUGAAAGAUGCAUCGAGAAAAACAAGUAUUAAAUUUGUUUAAAGAGUUUAAGAUAGUUUGCAAAAUAUCGAGGAAAAAAAAACAAAGGUCAAGAUACAGGAGACACAGAGAGCCGUGGAGGUUGUCAUGGUGAUACAGGGCUUCAGGGUCCGAAAGAAAUAAAGAAAGCAGUUUGUCACCCAGUGUGAGACUUCACUCUGACACUUGAUGAAAUGUCCUGAUCGAUAAAUGAUCCCAGUCUUGCUCCUGGUCAUGAAGGACAUCAGUCACUUCCACUGCUGAGCUGCUUCCUUUUCCUUUCCCCGUGAUUUUUCCCCUGAAGGCCUGCAGAGCCACUCUGUACCUGGUGGAAAGGAGUAGACCAACAUUUUCUGGAAAUGCAAGUCUACUUGAUUAUCAACUGUGAGAUAAGGAUCAAUCCCAAUUUUGCAACUGUACACUUUACAUAAAGCCACAGUAUUUUAGCUUAGGAAUCUAGCAAGCCUUACAGUGUCAAAAGGCAACAAAAAACAUAUUUAUAUAACCCUUCUCAUAGCCCCCAGAGUAAUGAGACGACUGUGAGGCAGCACAUCAUUGGCUUAAAAUAAGACUGGGAACGAAUAAACAGCAAACCUAAAGAGGCAAGAAGUUUUAAGGUUAAGAAACUGGAGGUUUAAUUCAGUCCUGUCCUCUAUUUAUUCCUGUCCUUCUCCUCUCUGCUGCUCAGUAAAUGGCCGGUGGGAUGUCAGUGCCUGUGGUGCUUCCUUCUUUGAAGACAGAUAUGCCCCAAUGCACCAGCAGCUCCAAGUAAUGUUGAAGAUGUUAGUCUGGGCUCACUUGUACAUACAGAGCAGGAUAUGCAAGUCUUCCGGGGGAGAGGCUGUAAGGCAGGAGCUGUGAGGGAUUUCGACUACGUUGAUUCAUACGUUUUCAGUCUGGUUAUUGGAAGAGAGCUCAUGCUUCUCCGAGGAGGAGGAGGACGGGGGCAACGUGUAGAUAAAACUGCUAUGUUUGCUCACACUCUAAGUGUCAGACCAAAGCUGUGAUCUGUAAACCUGUCACGCUGACUGUGAAGAAGGACGGCCACACUUUGUCAGAAGUCCCACGCUUUCCAAAUUGAUUACAAAUUAGAUUCUCUCUGGGUCUGCUCAGGGAUUCAUGUUGUCACAGCUGGAUGAUAACAGGAGUUAGUGGAAAGUGUUAUUAAAUUAAACACUGCUUACACAAGGAUUCUUCAUACAGCACCUGAAAUUAGAUUUUACUGGAUGUGCACUUAUUGAAUUUUUGAUGGCAAAUAUAUUUUCUUACACAUUUGCAUUGCUGAUCCUCCACUACUGCUGCUGUGUUACCAGACCAGACUGAGGCAAAUCUUUACUUAGAUUGCUUUAUCCUAGGGCUGGGCAAUAUGGCCUCAAUUCAGUAUCACAAUAUACUGAGCAGUUAACUUUGAUAAUGAUAGAUGGAUGAUAACUACUCCACAAGCUGCUCACCCCCUCCCACAUUAACUUCGCCUACUUCAGCUGCCGCUCCAGCUGCUGCUAUUUUUUAACCAUCCUCCAUCUCCUCACCGGACUGGAUGGGGUGGAGUCACGCCUCCGACGUAGGACAACAUCUAAAUAGGCUUUUAUUUAUUUAUUUAUUUGUCUGACAUCUAAUAUAUAUAGACACGGACAAAACAACGUCGGUUUUUGCCAUAAAUUUCGGUAUCAGUACAUUUUUGGUUUAUCACCUAGCCCUAAUCGAGGUUUUCAAACCUAGAUAAUAUAGCGUGGAUAAUUUUUUCUGUCAUGUCCAACCUCUGAUCGUACUGAAACUGGCCUAAAACAAUCUGUCCUUUUAUUGGCAAUAAGGAGGGGAACAGUGUUUAUUUUUGACGUGAGACGCACAGCAUCAUGGGUAAGGUAAGAAAACAGCAGUGCAGGGUUCAUUAUGCAGCGCCCUUAUUAAUGUAACAGCUGAAUCAAUUCCAACAUCUGACUCCUACAUUAAUAAAGAGAAAGAAUAAUCACACAUUGGUUUAUAGUUAAGAAUUAUCCACUGUUUGACUGACGCUGGAAAAAGAAAUCUGAUUAAAUAAAGUCAGUUAUUCUCAUGUAGAGGAUAAAAGUAACCGGAGGGUGUUAAUUAUGAACGAAUGGAGAACACUUUACAUGAACCAGAUCCAUGAUGUGAUGUCCUCUUUGUGAACCUGGGGCUGUGGCUCAGGUAAUGGGUUUGAGGUUUCUGCUGCUCCUUUGGGAGGGAGUGGCGAGAUGAAGGGUUGUGGAUGCCAAGAGAGAAACUGACAGUGCCGUUCAUGCAGACUGAUGGAAAACAGAUCCUUGAUUGUGUUUCCUCUUACUUCAACAGGAGCAUCAAGGUCUCCAUCUUCACCCCCUGGCUGACUGAAGCUGCCCUGACCAUCUGAAUCACAACUUAUAAACAGCCACUGCUUUUCACACCUGAUCGAGGAAGAUACUCAGCUUUUGAAAAUCCAAAUGUCAUAGGCAUUUCUCAGCUCUGGGCAAAAAAAAGAAGAGGAGACCCAGAUAAAAGCCCUAUAAAACUGCAGAUACCAAAACAGCUCCAGAUAGGCUCCUCUCUGCGGGAAAUAAUCUACAAGGAUAUGUUUAACUGACCUCCAAGAGGAGACAAGGGUAAAGCCAUCAACCCGAAAAUGACUUGAUUGCAGAUUAACAGUGUAUCUCUUCCUUAUACUUACAAAAAUGGCCUCUUCACCUCCAGAUACACCUUCACUUAGAGGCUGUUUCAUAACUGAGACAUGACUGACUCAAUAAUAUCAUAAAUUAAUCACCUCGGUUGGGCUAAUUAAUAAAGUCUCAGGAGGAACUGUGACGGAAACUCUCUCAGGAGCAUUUAGAUUGAUGAUCCACAACCGUGACAUUUGGAUUUUUUAGAUAACACACGC